rnacentral:misc_RNA from 1 species
GGACAGAUAGGACAAGGACUUCCUUUGGCUGCUUCAGGCUUGGCAGUUAUAAUGGGUUUGAAUCUUUUGGAGAUAAUCGAGUUACAGCUUCCCUCAUUCUUUGACAGUUUUGAUCCACGCGCUGCAGCAGCUAACUUCCCUUCUAGUGUACAAGCAUAUUUGGCUGGACUUACUUUUGCAUUGGCGGCCUCACCUUGUAGUACACCAGUUCUUGCCACG